GCACCUAUAGCUCAGCUGGAUAGAGCGUCUGAUUGCGGUUCAGAAGGUCUCAGGUUCGAAUCCUGAUAGGUGCGCCA
rnacentral:tRNA from 1 species